UAAUACGGGGGGAGCAAGCGUUGUUCGGAUUUACUGGGCGUAAAGGGCGCGUAGGCGGUCGUGACAAGUCACUUGUGAAAUCUCCGGGCUUAACUCGGAACGGUCAAGUGAUACUGUCGGACUAGAGUACAGAAGGGGCAACUGGAAUUCUCGGUGUAGCGGUGAAAUGCGUAGAUAUCGAGAGGAACACCUGCGGCGAAGGCGGGUUGCUGGGCUGAUACUGACGCUGAGGCGCGAAAGCCAGGGGAGCGAACGGGAUUAGAUACCCCGGUAGUCCUGGCCUUAAACGAUGAAUGCUUGGUGUCUCGGGUUAUAAAGUCCCGGGGUGCCGUCGCUAACGCUUUUAGCAUUCCGCCUGGGGAGUACGGUCGCAAGACU
rnacentral:rRNA from 1 species